AAUUCCUACGGGGCGCAGCAGUGAGGAAUAUUGGUCAAUGGACGAAAGUCUGAACCAGCCAUGCCGCGUGCAGGCAGACGGCUCUAUGAGUUGUAAACUGCUUUUGUACAAGGGUAAACCUGAAUACGUGUAUUCAGCUGAAAGUACUGUACGAAUAAGGAUCGGCUACUCCGUGCCAGCAGCCGCGGUAAUACGGAGGAUCCAAGCGUUAUCCGGAUUUAUUGGGUGUAAAGGGUGCGUAGACGGGAAAUUAAGUUAGUUGUGAAAUCCCUCGGCUUAACUGAGGAACUGCAACUAAAACUGAU
rnacentral:rRNA from 1 species